rnacentral:rRNA from 1 species
GCGGUGGAGCAUGUGGUUUAAUUCGAAGCAACGCGAAGAACCUUACCAGGUCUUGACAUCCCUGACAACCCGAGAGAUCGGGCGUUCCCCCUUCGGGGGACAGGGUGACAGGUGGUGCAUGGUUGUCGUCAGCUCGUGUCGUGAGAUGUUGGGUUAAGUCCCGCAACGAGCGCAACCCUCGGCCUUAGUUGCCAGCAUUCAGUUGGGCACUCUAAGGUGACUGCCGGCUAAAAGUCGGAGGAAGGUGGGGAUGACGUCAAAUCAUCAUGCCCCUUAUGACCUGGGCUACACACGUGCUACAAUGGGCGGUACAAAGGGUCGCGAACCCGCGAGGGGGAGCCAAUCCCAAAAAGCCGCUCUCAGUUCGGAUUGCAGGCUGCAACUCGCCUGCAUGAAGCCGGAAUCGCUAGUAAUCGCGGAUCAGCAUGCCGCGGUGAAUACGUUCCCGGGCCUU